rnacentral:tRNA from 1 species
GACUCCGUGGCUCAAUGGUAGCGCGUCUGACUCCAGAUCAGAAGGUUGCGUGUUAAAAUCACUUCGGGUCA